rnacentral:lncRNA from 10 species
GAAUGCAGAGACCACGUUGUAUAUGAAGCAUCCACUUUGCCUUGUACACCAGGGCAUUCAAUAACCACUUAAUAACUACAACCCUGAUGAUCCGAUUCACUACUAAAGUCUUCCGUGUUUAAAUUUUCAAAGUCAGAUUCUCCUACAGCAAUUGGCCCAGUUCCCCUUCCUAGAGGCAACUACUACUACUUAUCUCCCAUAUAUAUUUCCAGGAGUGAUGGUGAGGAGGAAUUGUGCCAGCUUGCUUCUUCACUGCCAUUUUGGAACCAGAACUCAGAACCUGAGAAAGAUGAAUGAAAUUUAGUGUUUCCCAUCCCCGAGAGACACCCAGCAUCCACAACUUCACACUCUGAUGCCAUUGUGUAUUUAUGCAAGAAAUACCAUAACUAAGAUGAGGUCUCGCUAUGUUGCCUAGGCUAGUCUUGAACUCCUGGCCUCAAGUGAUCCUUCUGCCUCAGCAUCGGGAGUCACUGGGAUUAAAGGCAUGAGCCACCAUGCUCAGGAACUUGACAUCAUCAGACAGUAAAUCAAGAGGUACUGACAACUGAGACUGAGUGAUGGUCCCUGCCUAGGAUUUGGAAUCUUUGCAUGAAAUAGGGACUCUAGCCACCAGCGACAAAGAAGUCAGGGAGACUGC